rnacentral:rRNA from 1 species
GACGAACGCUAGCGGCGUGCCUAAGGUAUGCAAGUCGAACGAGGAAGCAAUUCCGAGUGGCGAACGGUCGAGGAACACGUAGACAACCUGCCUCCCAGCGGGGGAUACCCGCGGGAAACCGCGGCUAAUACCGCAUGCGAUCCGGAGCGGCCGCGCUUCGGGAUGAAAGGGGGAGCGCAAGCUCCUUCACUGGGAGAUGGGUCUGCGGCCUAUCAGCUCGUUGGCGGGGUAACGGCCCACCAAGGCGACGACGGGUAGCUGGUCUGAGAGGAUGAUCAGCCGGACGGGGACUGAGACACGGCCCGACUCCUUCGGGAGGCAGCAAUGAGGAAUCUUGCGCAAUGGGGGCAACCCUGACGCAGCGACGCCGCGUGGGUGAGGAAGUCCU